UUUAAUUGAAUUCACUGGAUACGGUCC
rnacentral:piRNA from 1 species